AAUGUAGCAGGUGAUACUAGGAGAACUUUGAAUGAAGAUGGCGUGGUCAACCGUAUAAAGGUUCUAGGUAGGAACGGGUUUUAAAACGUGAUUGUUUCCGGCCGGCGGAAAUAGUUGGACGUACAUGGUUCCAUGGAGGAUUCGUAUGUGAUGGUUGGAUGUGGAGAGCAGCUCUGUGGUGCCUGAAAUAGAUGGGCAUAUACGCGGGAGUCUGAAGGAUUGUCAUACUGGUUAUGCUAAAGUGUUGAUAUGUGUGUCUGUUCGGGAUCCUUGAGACAGGGCUGCCGAAUUUAGGGUGACACUAUAGGGCCUAUAUGUUGCUCUUGUUAUUUAUUUGAUUUGUUUUGGUUUAUUGUUUGGUAUAGAUUACUAUUGAGGGUUUGGUUUACUGCUAGUCCGCCUGGGAAACGAGUAAUCAGGCCUGAUGGUAAGGCCUUGAGGGCGGACUAGUUUACUUUAUUUUGUUUGUUUGUUCGUCAGUAAUUUGUUUCUCCCACUGUAUUACUAUGUCAGGGACGGAAGGUAUGGUACGUAGGCAGAGCUGAGCCAUUAAACGCAUGUCUAGUGUGAAGCACGAUGGUGUUAUGAUUUGUUGUGCUGUGAAAUCUGAUUGUAUUUCUUUUUAUUAUUGGUUUGUUUAUUUUGUUCAACGCUCAUGCGCUGCUGAGGUAACAUUUGGACGUCCUGGUACAUAGUUUCUUUUUGUAUAGUGCCACCAAUAAACUUUUGUAAGUUUUACUUGAACCUGUGUUUGUGGCAUAUGUUUACUGAUGGUACUUGGUAACAAAUACAUCAACAUACUGUUAAAAUUCACACAUUAUUGGUUAUUUGUUGCACGCACACCGCACCAAACUCGGUAGAGCGCAAGGGUGUUUGCCAUAAUGGCACGUGACGCACGCACGCACAGACAAGAGAGGAGUCGGAGGGGAACACGCGCGCGCUCGCACCAAAAAGUCAGGAAAGCGAGAGGACGCAGAUGCGCCGAUUAUU